rnacentral:rRNA from 1 species
CCUACGGGAGGCAGCAGUGAGGAAUUUUGGUCAAUGGGCGCUAGCCUGAACCAGCCAAGUAGCGUGAAGGAAGACUGCCCUAUGGGUUGUAAACCUCUUUCAUAUGGGAAUAAAGUGCAGUAUGUAUACCGCAAUGCAUGUACCCUACGAACUAGGAUCGGCCAACUUCGUGCCAGCAGCCGCGGUAAUACGGAGGAGCCGAGCGUUUUCCGGAUUUAUUGGGUGUAAAGGGAGCGUAGGCGGGUGGUUAAGUCAGUUGUGAAAGUUUGCGGCUCAACCGUAAAAUUGCAGUUGAUACUGGCAUCCUUGAGUACAGGAGAGGUAGGCGGAAUUCGUGGUGUAGCGGUGAAAUGCAUAGAUAUCACGAAGAACUCCGAUUGCGAAGGCAGCCUGCUGGACUGUAACUGACGCUGAUGCACGAAAGUGUGGGUAGCGAACAGGAUUAGAUACCCUUGUAGUC